rnacentral:rRNA from 1 species
AUUGAACGCUGGCGGCAUGCCUUACACAUGCAAGUCGAACGGUAACAGGUCUUCGGACGCUGACGAGUGGCGAACGGGUGAGUAAUACAUCGGAACGUGCCCAGUCGUGGGGGAUAACUACUCGAAAGAGUAGCUAAUACCGCAUACGAUCUGAGGAUGAAAGCGGGGGACCUUCGGGCCUCGCGCGAUUGGAGCGGCCGAUGGCAGAUUAGGUAGUUGGUGGGAUAAAAGCUUACCAAGCCGACGAUCUGUAGCUGGUCUGAGAGGACGACCAGCCACACUGGGACUGAGACACGGCCCAGACUCCUACGGGAGGCAGCAGUGGGGAAUUUUGGACAAUGGGCGAAAGCCUGAUCCAGCAAUGCCGCGUGCAGGAUGAAGGCCUUCGGGUUGUAAACUGCUUUUGUACGGAACGAAAAAGCUCCUUCUAAUACAAGGGGCCCAUGACGGUACCGUAAGAAUAAGCACCGGCUAACUACGUGCCAGCCGCCGCGGUAAUAC